UACCAGACUCCUACGGGAGGCAGCAGUGGGGAAUAUUGGGCAAUGGGCGCAAGCCUGACCCAGCGACGCCGCGUGAGGGAAGACGGUCUUCGGAUUGUAAACCUCUUUCAGCAGGGAAGACAAAAGGACGGUACCUGCAGAAGAAGCCACGGCUAACUACGUGCCAGCAGCCGCGGUAAUACGUAGGUGGCAAGCGUUAUCCGGAAUUACUGGGUGUAAAGGGUGUGUAGGCGGGGCUGCAAGUCAGAAGUGAAAUCUGGGGGCUUAACCCCCAAACUGCUUUUGAAACUGUGGGUCUUGAGUGAUGGAGAGGCAGGCGGAAUUCCCAGUGUAGCGGUGAAAUGCGUAGAUAUUGGGAGGAACACCAGUGGCGAAGGCGGCCUGCUGGACAUUAACUGACGCUGAGGCGCGAAAGCGUGGGGAGCAAACAGGAUUAGAUACCCCAGUAUAA
rnacentral:rRNA from 1 species